GCUUGUCUCAAAGAUUAAGCCAUGCAUGUCUUAGUGUAAAUAACUCUUAUGAAACUGCGAAUGGCUCAUUAAAUCACACCUAAUGUACUGGACAGUUUCAGUUACUUGGAUAACUGCGGUAAUUCUGGAGCUAAUACAUGCGCACAAGCCCCGACUCACGGAGGGGCGCUUUUAUUAGACUAAAACCAAACGGCCUCGGCCGUCCCACUGGUGAAUCUGAAUAACUUUGAGCGGAUCGCACGGCCUCGUGCCGGCGACGUGUCCUUCCAAGGUGUGCCCUAUCAACUGUCGACUGUGGCAUAGACGCCCACAGUGGUUUUGACGGGUAACGGGGAAUUAGGGUUCGAUUCCGGAGAGGGAGCCUGAGAAACGGCUACCACUUCUAAGGAAGGCAGCAGG
rnacentral:rRNA from 1 species